ensembl:antisense Gm38188 predicted gene, 38188
CCAUGUCUGCCUUCAAGAACCAUGCUUCCCAUCAUGACAAUGAACUAAACCUCUGAACCUGUAAGCCAGCCCCAGUGAAAUGUUUUCCUUAAUAAGAGCUGUUGUGAUCAUGGGGUCUCUUCACAGCAAUAGAAACCCCAACUUAGAGAAUUAGCAAAAGCAACUCGGGGAGGGAGUGUUAUCUGACUUACUUACAGGUCACCAUCCAGCACUGAGGAAGUCAGGGCAGGAAGCCAAGGCAGUAACCAUGGAGGAGUGCUGCUCACUGGCUUGCUCUCCCACUGGCUCACGCAUGCACAGCCAGCUUUCUUACACAACCCAGGACUACCAUCGCAGCGAUGGUACCGUCCACCAGAAGGCCUGGGUCCUUCUAUAUCAUAGCAAUCAAUAAUCAAGACAGUGCCACACAGUCAUGGCCAUAGACCAACCUGAUCUGGGCAAUCUUUUAACUGAGGUGACUCUAGGUCACUUCGCCAAUAGGAGCUGACCAGAGCACACGGUGGUCUCAGCUGCCACAGGAAAGUGAAGCAGCACUAGCAACACAUGAGGCACAGAAAGCGUGCACGGCAGCGUCGCACUUGCCAUAGGCAAAGCCAUGCAGCCAGAAUACAGGCAGUGCUUGCCCAGGCUGGGACGGCUGUGAUGCUGUGGGUUUCUUCCGAGUAGUAAUCUGCUCUGGAACCCCUGGGAUGCACAGCACUGGCUAUCAGUGGAUGAUGGGCUGCUUCAAAAUGCACAAAAUGGUCAACUUAAAUAUUUAUUUUUUUACUAUUUUUAUUUGUGAAUGUGUAUGAACAUGGCUACAGUGACCAGAGGAGGUUGUCAGAUCCCCUGGAGCUGGAGUUGGAGGAGGUUAUG